CUCUGACAACAAACCAAUUUUGACAGCUCCUUUUCUCGACCAGCUGACUGUUUCAGGAACAGUAUGUAACGGACAAAGCAGUUUAUCGAAAAUUGUUGAUUUGAAUUUAACAUAACUCCACUGACUCCACCUCUCCUACCCCUCCUACCACUAACUCUACCCACAGAAUCCUCAGCAGAUGAACGCAAAAUACAGUAUCCGUGUGUGUUACACUCUCGCAUCCUUAGGGAAAUACUGUAAGGACCUCGCAUUUAUAUUACACUCUGUUGCAAAAUUAUAGGGACACUCAAUUUUUUUUUUACAUUCGUAUUGAUUCCCACUUGUUUAAUUCACAAAAAUACCAAUAAUUUUUUUGUGACAAAUAAAGUACAUUUUUUUAUUCCUUAUA